rnacentral:rRNA from 1 species
AUUGAACGCUGGCGGCAGGCCUAACACAUGCAAGUCGAACGAGUGGCGGACGGGUGAGUAAUGUCUGGGAAACUGCCUGAUGGAGGGGGCUAACUACUGGAACCGGUAGCUAAUACCGCAUACCAUCCGAUUUGCCCAUAUGGGAUUAGCUAGUUGGUGGGGUAACGUCUCACCACGGCGACGAUCCCUAGCUGGGCUGAGAGGAUGACAAGCCACACUGGAACGGAGACACGGUCCAGACUACUACGGGAGGCAGCAGUGGGGAAGAGUGCACAAUGGGCGCAAGCCUGAUGCAGCCAUGCCGCGUGUAUGAAGAAGGCCUGCGGGUUGUAAAGUACUUUCAGCGGGGAGGCGUUACCCGCAGAAGAAGCACCGGCUAACUCCGUGCCAGCAGCCGCGGUAAUUC